AUGGCACAGAUUCCAAACCUCGAUAACGCCGCGCUCAAUCUUACUGCCCUGAGGGAGCAGUCACAGAAGGAACUUCUCAGCAUAAUCAAGAGUAUUAGGGGGAAGAAGUGUCUGGUCAUUGAUCCGAAGCUUGCGGGUACCCUCUCGCUGAUCCUGCAGACCUCGGUGCUAAAGGAAUAUGGCACGGAGCUGCGGAUCCUCUCUGCUGACCCUCUUCAGACGGAAUGCCCCAAAGUGGUGUAUCUUGUUCGCUCCCAGCUGAACUUCAUGAAAUUUGUGGCUAAUCAAAUUAAGAAUGACGAAUCCAAAGGGCUCCAGAGGGAAUACCACCUCUAUUUUGUACCACGCCGUAUAGUUGCCUGUGAGAAGAUUCUGGAGGAAGAGAAAGUUCAUCAAAAGUUGACAAUCGGAGAGUAUCCCUUGUAUCUAGUUCCUUUGGACGAGGAUGUCCUUUCUUUGGAGCUUGACUAUUCCUUGCAGGAAUGCCUUAUUGAAGGAGAUACAAGUUCUGUCUGGCAUGUUGCAAAAGCUAUCCAUAAGUUAGAGUUUGCCUUCGGGGUUAUCCCCAAUAUUAGAGCCAAGGGUGUAGCAUCAACCAAAGCUGCAGAAUUGCUGAACCAUAUGCAACUCGAAGACCCGGUCAGCAUGGAUAAUAUGGGGAUUCCAGAGAUAGACACCGUUAUUUUGCUAGAUAGAGAGGUGGAUAUGGUGACACCAAUGUGCUCUCAGCUAACGUAUGAAGGUCUAUUAGACGAGAUGUUGGAAAUUCAUAAUGGAUCUGUGGAAGUUGACGCCAGCAUUAUGGGUGCUCAACAAGAUGGAAAAAAGGUCAAGGUUCCACUCAAUUCAAGUGAUAAGUUGUACAAGGAGAUUCGAGACCUCAACUUGCAUGUUGUAGUUCAGGUCGUCCGCCAAAAGGCAACGUCUAUUCAGCAAGAUUAUGCAGAAGUAAAAUCAACGAAUACACAGUCGGUUUCUGAGCUGAAGGAUUUUGUGAAGAGGUUACACUCGCUACCGGAGAUAGCUAGGCAUGUUAACUUGGCACAACAUUUGCAAUCAUUUGCGGCAAAACCCGCAUUUCAUGCCCGAGUAGAGAUUGAGCAAAUAAUACUGGAGGCGCAGACCUAUGAAACGUGUUACGAGUACAUUGAGGAGAUUAUACAGAAGCAAGAGCCUAUUGAAACUGUACUUCGCCUUCUAGUGUUAUUUUCCCUUACAAAUGCUGGGUUGCCGAAGAAGAAUUUUGACUACUUGAGGCGGGAAAUACUGCACAGUUAUGGCUUUGAGCAUAUGCCCUUGUUAUACAAUCUGGAAAAAGCUGGCCUUGUUAAAAGGCAGGAAUCGAGGACUAAUUGGCCUGUUAUUAGUAGAGCUCUCCAGCUUAUAGUUGAUAUAAAGGAUCCUGAAAACCCUGAUGAUAUAGCAUACAUCUUUGCUGGAUAUGCACCUCUUAGUAUUCGCCUGGUUCAGCAUGCAGUGAGGUCUGGAUGGCGAUCUAUUGAAGAACUGUUGAAAUUAUUGCCAGGUCCUCAUAUGGAUUUGAAAAGAGGUGUCUCGACCAUUAGUUCAUCAGAAUUACUACCAGGUUCCGGGUCACAACAGAGUACCGACAGGGUUGGUCAUCGCUCCCUGGUUCUGGUUGUAUUUAUUGGUGGUGUAACAUCUGCUGAGAUUGCUGCGCUUCGAUUUCUUAGUGCACAGGAAGGAAUGGGCUAUGACUUCCUGGUUGCAACAACAAAGGUUAUCACUGGCAACACAUUACUGAGACCAAUUAUAGCCAGCAGCAAAGAGGGAAUGAUUUAG
rnacentral:rRNA from 1 species